rnacentral:misc_RNA from 1 species
GGAAGAAGAACAGAAAAGAUUGCACGAGGAAGAAGAGUCGAGGAGCAGCAAAAAAGAGGUAUACCUCAGGUCCUCAGUGCAGCAGCAACUCGAAGUCUCGAAGAGACGCGACCGUCGAGGGGAAGUGGAGUCGGGGAGAAGAGAUCGCGAGGGGAAGAGGAGUCGUGCAGCAGCAAAUUUUGAAAAUAGAAAAAAAACCCUAAUUUUGACUAAUAUUAUUAAGUCAAAUAUUUUCAAAUUUUUUAAAUUAAA